rnacentral:rRNA from 1 species
AACGAACGCUGGCGGCGUGGAUAAGACAUGCAAGUCGAACGGGAUUUUUUUCUGUAGCAAUACAGGAAAAAGUCUAGUGGCGAACGGGUGCGUAACACGUGAGCAACCUGCCGUGAAGUGGGGGAUAGCUCGCCGAAAGGCGAAUUAAUACCGCAUGUGGCCAAGGAAGACAUCUUCCUGACGCCAAAGCCGGGGCAACCUGGCGCUUCUCGAGGGGCCCGCGGCCUAUCAGCUUGUUGGUGAGGUAACGGCUCACCAAGGCUAUGACGGGUAGCUGGUCUGAGAGGACGACCAGCCACACUGGAACUGAGACACGGUCCAGAAACCUACGGGUGGCAGCAGUCGAGAAUUUUUCACAAUGGGGGAAACCCUGAUGGAGCGACGCCGCGUGGAGGAUGAAGGUUUUCGGAUUGUAAACUCCUGUCAUUAGAGAACAAGGCACACGGUUUAACUGACCGUGUGUUGAUAGUAUCUGAAGAGGAAGAGACGGCUAACUCUGUGCCAGCCGCCGCCGUAA